AGGGUUCGAUUCUGGCUCAGGACGAACGCUGGCGGCGUGCCUAACACAUGCAAGUCGAGUGGGGACAUGCGACGGAGUCGAAGUUUCGGAUGGAGACGAAGAUGUAUGUUCUAGCGGCGGACGGGUGAGUAACGCGUGAGCAACCUGUCCCUUACAGGGGGAUAACACAGCGAAAGUUGUACUAAUACCGCAUAAGACCACGGUGAGACAUCUCACAGGGGUCAAAGGAGCAAUCCGGUAAGGGGUGGGCUCGCGUCCGAUUAGAUAGUUGGUGAGGUAACGGCCCACCAAGUCGACGAUCGGUAGCCGACCUGAGAGGGUGAUCGGCCACAUUGGGACUGAGACACGGCCCAAACUCCUACGGGAGGCAGCAGUGGGGAAUAUUGGGCCAAUGGGGGGAACCCUGACCCAGCAACGCCGCGUGAGGGAAGAAGGUUUUCGGAUCGUAAACCUCUGUCCUUGGUGAAGAGUUUGAGACGGUAGCCAAGGAGGAAGCCCCGGCUAACUACGUGCCAGCCGCCGC
rnacentral:rRNA from 1 species